CGAGGAGUCCAUUGAAAAAUAACGUGGUCUGGCCGUCAGACGACCAAUAACCGGAUCCACGUUCAUCGUCGUGCAGUUGCAAUGCUAUGCCAGCUCUGAUGGGAUCGGUAUGAUAAUGGAAGCAUAGAUUAACACAGGGUGAAGGUCGUGCCACCCUCUCAUUCUCGCACACUCGACCGACCCUUCCGGCAGCCUAUCCUCUGUGACAAUUACCGCUUCGUCGAGGCCCAACAAGCCAGAACCCUGCCGUAGCUGUACUCGCUCGGAAGGCUUCGCGUCAGCUUUCCGCCUGAUGCCGCAAGAUGGAAUACCAUGGUUCGAUUAGGCGAGUGGAAAGGUCCCGAAACCUCGAGGGCGAAGAAAUAAAAGAAACGAGUCUCCAUUCACACGGAGCGCAGCGCGUUCUCAUCGUAAUUUACGAGGCUGUCCCCGUAAAUUACGAUCCGCAGUUGCUCGUACGCUGCGAGCCAAUGCAUGUCCUCGUGGCAAGGCCAAGGUCGCGGUGCAACAAUCUUCCGCUGCGAGGUAUGCGACGUCGAUCGAAUGAACGGUGGCAACGAAAGUAUUGCGUGGGUGGUGCAAUCCUCGUCGGACCUGGGUUCACCAUGGGUACUACAACCCUUAACCUUUUCACGCAUUUCCUCGGUCGUGCACCCCCUAGUGUUUACUUAAUCUUGCAAAGAAUACUCUUCGAUACAAGUCACGCGUCUCUUCGCCUUUUCUCACGACUCGGUUUUCUUUACCGUCGAAGGCUUUCAAAAAGUCUGACACGACCACCUCGAUGACGGAGAUUGAUCAUCGCGUUGUAUUUUGCAAGCAACAAGAACGGAUCGGGGAUCCAUCACCCUACAAGAGUAGAUUAAAAUUGAAGGCGAACAAGUUCCCUUGUUAGUCAUGCAUCAUCGAUUAGCAGCGACCUCUAUUUUACGCUGGAAUCAAGUCCCGGACUUUCUAGAAUGCACAGUGAGUCACAGCUCUCCGAUAGCUACGCUACCCUCCACAGGUGAUGGAGAAUAUUCCAAGGUGAUCGUUUUUGUUUACUCUUCGACGCGUUAUUCCGAGAUUCCUGGGACUCGGUCUGCGACAACUAAUCAUGGGAAUUUCCUGGUCGAGUCGUUGCGCUAUUAUACUCCAACUUCCUAACCACGAGAUAACUGUCAUUCGACAAGGACGAAUUCGUCUGCGAUCUCCCUCAAAACGUGUUGUAUCGACUCGUUUCACUCGAAAGUUGUUUCAUUUCGAUACAACGAACGUUGCUUCGUACCCACCGUGCGUCGUGGAGCGUUCGACUAGGCGAUAAAAAAAAAAAAAGAAAUAUUCGUCACAAUCUUUACACGCCACUCGAUGCACGCGCGCUGCAUUAUAAUUGUACGUCGAUAAGACUCCGUGCGCCGAUAAGCUGUUCGCGCCAAGAUCGCCGGGUUAAUUCGGCCGGACCGAUUAGCACGAAACGUUUCCUCCUCUCUAUCCCUGUUAUCGAGAAUUUCUCCAGCGAGCACGUGUGCCUGAUUUCUCGCAACAACCGGCCCGAGAUCGCUAAUGCAAAGAUUGUCCAAAGUCGCGAGCCUCUCCAGCAGCGAAUGCCGGUGGUUUCGCUACCCUCGUCGAGUCCGCGAGUUUUCCAACAGCAAAUAGCUUAUAUUUCAUUGAAAGGGAGUCGCAGGAGGCCGUGGCGAACCACUUAUGCAUGCAAGAAGUGGAAAUCGUAAUUGACAUAUAUUACAAGGGGGUGCGUGACGAGCGAGCGUGCCGCUAAGGGUGUAACGCAAGGGUGGUCGUCCUGCGAAUGCUCCACGACAAGCGUACAGCGGAGGGAUAAAAGGCAACGAGAGUGCCGUACGGAGACGGGAUGCCGCAGUGAUUUACAUAUCGUCGAUCGGUACACGUCACGUAGGUUCGCGGCUCCCGUUGUAUACGCACAACAAACGAUCGCGCCAGCUCGUUCUCGCCUAACGAGAGACUAAUCGAUCUACUCGAAAUUCGGCUCCUUUCGAAUCCACCAUGCAUAUUCAUCACGAUCGACCGAUAAAUGAACGGAGGCACGAAUCGCGCCUCGGACUUUGACGUUUCGCGAUAACGGGAAAAAUAGGUAACAAUGUUAUCGUCUUAAAAUUACGUGCAGUUUGUCGCUUUCGUGUUUUCGCCACGUGCUCGCCCAUUGUAAAUCUGGAGCACAAAGGAAGGAAAAAAGUGCCGCGACGAGAGGCUAUGCAACGAGCUUCGAUUCGAUGGUAGAUGGGGUAUUCGCGGAGCGACGUGAAAGUUGGUUAAAACUUGGUAAAAACACGAAAAGCACUAAGCGAAUGCUAAACCCGGGAGCAGAUAGGAUCGCGACCGAUCGCGUAAUUAUACAAUAAUUUCGGGUAUAUCGCUGUCGAGAUCGGCGUAAUGAUAUGAAUUAAAGUUGACUGCGGUCGACCGUGCACUUUCUUUGUUUCUUUUCGCUAGAAAGCGACGCGUCGUCGGACCUGGGAUAUCGAAGAAAUUUACGAGCUCGAGGGGAUCGUUUAUCGGUGCAAAUAUUUUUCGUCCACUACGGUCGUUGUGCAAUUAAUCUAUGGCUAACUACGGCCAUGGAACGUGUUCCACGACCUAAAAACGAUAAGAACACGGCGAAAUUUGGGGCGAGACGCGGCUGACAUCGAGAUACGAUCCGUGUCGGGUCGACUCGACGACGGUCAUAUUUAUUUUGCAUCCGAUUUUGUUGACUGUAUCGAAACUAAAAAGGACAGAAAAUAUUUUCAGCGAACACCUAUGGAGUUAUCGAAAGUUUAUGUAUAUACAAAGAAAAAUUCUCAGCCCUCGAGGGACUGCGCCCAGCGAUCGUAGGUGUUCUGUUUGCAUUUGGAUAGAGGGUGUUCUCCGUGAUUUCGUGACGCAUGUAGGCCAGGUACGCGGCGCGGCGUCUGUCUCUCGUCCCUUCGUGACGAAUCGCGCAGGAGGUGGUCGGCACGAAUUUCAAGCCAGUCCGACAGUUAUUUCUUUCGAGAACGGUCUCGAGCGUGUUAUCCUUUAUGAAUUUACGUGGCGCAGCGAGAAAACGAAUGACCCUCUUAUUCGCGCGCGCGCAAGCCUCGACGGCGAACCGUUCUGGAAGAAAGGAGGACUCGUUAUCGCGGCGUGUCUCGGCGCGAUAUGAAAAUGAAGAACGAGCAUGUAACGCGCGUGACGGAUCGUCCCGGGCUCGAAAUGUGCCACAACGAUUAGAAAGAAACAAUCGCCGCAAUUAUUCACGUGUAAGACGCGGCCAGAUGGAUACUAAUUUAUUCACGAGGGUUACGCUACUCGUUUACAUCGCACUAGUAAUUAGUCGCAAAACCCUCGCUAAUAACGAGGUAACUUUCUAAGAAGGCGUAAGCCGUGGUCACGGUACAGCGUCGGUAUGAAACUAACAACGUCCAGACGAUGAUGUAUAACGUAUCGUGUAUAGAAACGACCUUAUUUCCUAAUGCAGUACCGAUACCGUAAUAUUUUUUUCUUGGUAUACAAAAUUAGACGCUCGAUACAAAUUGUAACGCGUUAAAUAUCAAAUUAUACGGUACAUUUUAUUCGUAUAUUUCUUGUUUAGAUAUGGUCCAUCUCUGGUUUUCGCCGAGGCUAGUGACAGUGACGCGAGCGACGUAAACAGGAAAGCAAUCGAACUCGAGGAGACAUCAAUGCCCGACGCAUCGUUGUUCCGCGUCAACUGCCCUGCGUCUGAAUUUAAAGCUAGUGGAUUAACUAAAAAAUCAUAUCGUUAAACAUUACUUGUUCUGCAGUUUUGUUUAUAUUUAUCGAUCAGCCCAGUUCGUAGCGAUACGAUCUCAAUCUGCCCUGCUUCGUCCCAUUCUUUCUCUGUCGAUUAAUUUUCAUCCUUUCAGGUAUCUCUCGACUACUCGAUUUGGAUCAACAGCACCGAUCGAAGGCGAUCGACGGACGAUGCGCGCGUGUAUUACGUACACGCUUGCGGGUUGGGUUUGCAGCAGUAAUAAACUGUUACUUCCGACCGCAGCAGUAACGCCGUUCGCGAGAGACGGCCAGAACAUAAUUGAUUGCGUCAACUUCCAGCCGCCCGUGAUUGGUGCUAUAUCUUCCACCGGUUUCACGUCACUUCCGUUACCUCAGCAACGGCGAUUUUUCAGCCCGUUAUCGCCUUCCGAAGCGUCACCGCUCCAUUGCUACGAACAAUCUACCGACGACGUAUGAACGCAACGUAUCGACCUUCGACAGCUUGCGAAUUGUUCGAAUCAAAGUUUAAAAGUCUAUCGAGCAUUCAUUUUCUUUUAAUUGUAUCUGUAUAUUUUCCGAGCGUCGGUCGGAGCUACUAUGAAAAAUACAAGUUCGAUGUCGCUCGUACCAAACAAAUGUCCCAUAGAGCGUAAAAGAUUUGUUUACGUAGCGAUAUCCGUAGCCGCAGGAGAUUUGUAAAAUCUUAAUCCCUGACCGACCGUACCAACGAUCCACGACGACUUGGUCGCGAAGCCUCCAAAGGCAGUUGUAGAAACGCGGUUUGUGAAUCGUCCGUACGGAGAACUUGGUGUUUAUUGAUCCCUCGCGGGGCUGACCAACGGUCAAUGAGAUACGGUCUCUCCCUUGCUCGCCGCCCUACGACCCGAGAGCCCUGCGUCGGUCUCCUUAACGGAAGUACGGAACCAACCCUCUCGCUCGCCGCUACUCCGUGAUUCAUGCCUCUUCGAAGACCGUCGAACGCGUACAAAAUCGCCGGAUGACUCCGAUACUCGAGACAACCGUCCUAUGUUUUCCAUGCAAGAUGGACGCGUAUUUAGAACCGUCCGAGAAGAACUACCAACCGUCCUCGACUGCUCGGUGCAGCGCGAAAAAAGCUAGUCGGAAAACAUGAAAAGUGCAAAUUAACGCGCGAUCGAAGCCUCCAACCCACUUCUCGCCCUUAUUAAUUCGGUUCUGUGGCGCUAGAUCCCGCGGGGAUUAGGUAUUUUAAUGACAGCUGGUCGUAAAGAAAUUCAGGUCGCGACGACGGGAAGGCGAGAGACGACGAAACGAAAAAGUCCCCUUCGACUGUACCAGCCGCGUUAUCGCGAGCGCUGAAGCAAAUAUAUGCAGACGACGCCGACGCAUGGAACGAUAACGAGACGUCGAGUAAAACGGGACAGCGUACCAUUUGGACGCGAGCAAAGACAAGGGACGAAAGGAAGGAUCGAAAAGCGUAGAGAAGAGGAGGGCUAGCCGUGCGCAACCGCAAACCCCAGCUGGCCAGCCCUUUUACCCUCCUUUGCGCUCGACCCUAUGGCGAUACUCCCACUUCUCGACCAAGUGGAACGCUCCUAUCCCCGCCACUUAACCGCAAGAUUCGCCUACGCGGGACCUCGAUCUUCUGUGCCACGUGGCUUUGGUAAACAACGGACAAAUCACCCUACGCGGAGUAAGCAAAUUCGGUUCGGUCGUUCGAUCGUGGGACUACGAGUCAUCCCAAAUAACAAGCAAAACGAUAACGAUAAACGAGAAUAGUUGCGAUGUAUAGAAACAAAAACGUCCAAAAAUAAUCCGUCCCGGAAGCGUUUUGCCUAACGAAUACGGGUCAAGGUUCAGCCGAGCUCGUUCGACCGGAUAUGGGUCACGGAUGUGCGAACACCGAUUCCCGUAGACUUCAAUCCAACGGAUCGGCAUGCAAAGUUGGUCGUAGAACGAUAACAUCGUGCACAAGCUUCGGCCACUUUGCAGGAUUAAGAGUUGACCCGACACGAGACUUAGUCCGAUCGAAAUAACGGAUCGUGCACGACCAGGUGCCAUACGUGUGCAACGAGCGGCAUGGUCACACCUUAAAACUGGAAAUCAGGCUGGGCGUGGGCCACCCUUAGCGUCGAAUGACGCAACGGAUGAAACCGAUCCUUCCUAUCGGCGCCUUCAUCGAGAUAAUGAACAACCUUCCAGAGGAAUCAAGCUGAAAGGGUCGAGCGUUAAUUGAACCGUUUUUCUGAGAACCAAUCCUUAAGUGUGCUCGCGUUAGAACAAGCUCGAUCAACUUUCGAGUCCUCCGAAGCCAGAGACGUGCUAAAACUUUUCGAGGAAUACAAAUUUCGAUAUUAUAUACGGUCGUUUCCCUCGUGAAAUUCUCGGAGGUAUCGCAAUUUUUACGCGCUCGAAACCAUAAUUACCUCGAUAGUAGCCAGCAAUAAUAGUCGCAACGGCGCGUUCUUUUUAGGUAGCCAAUCGGAUUCGCGUUGCGUGUGGCCUGCUUAAAGCCCGAUCUGGGCCAGAUUUACAAAGAUUACGGCCGGUAAUAUACGCAGAUUUCUUAUAAAUUGCCAUAUCGCGUCCUGGGCGCUCUGAAACUGGAAGUCGUCGAGCGGUCCACACGCUCGAACGAUGCGUGCCACGCGCCACUGGCAACGUUUACGUCCAACUGAACGCAAUCACUCGACCUCAUGAAUAUUAAGAAUGUGCAACGUCCGUCUGACCCACCCUCUAUCGUAUGAAUUAUACCAAACGAUAGGGUCGACGCCAGCCAGAAAGACUAUUUACUUUUGCGACAAGUUCUCGCACGCGUGGAAUUAUCGCCCUCGUAACCAGAUCGGUUCUCUCUGGUUCGCUCGGGAGAAGGGGUUAUUACCUGAACGGGCGCGGCGAGAUUUGAUCUACACACAUACACGCGAUCCUGUGUCUCGAGGACCUUAUUUCUUCUUCGUGCAAUGUAUCAGAUCGAACGACCCACUUUCCCGCUACCAGCGAUUAACAGCCCCGUUUUUUCUCCGACUAAUUUCACA